AGGGUCACACUCCCUCCUCAAGCCCCAGGGGAGGAUCCUUCCUGCCUCCCCCAGUUUCUGGACGCUCUGGGCUUUCCCGGCUGGUGGCCACGCAGCCCUGGCCUCCGCACGGCCCUGGCCUCCGUGAGGACUUCACACCUCCUCCUCCUCUGUCGCUUUCCUUCUCUUCUCUCCCAGGGACGCUGGCCUUGGGCUUGAGGCCCACCUUAAUCCAGGAUGGGUUCAUCUCAAGAUCUUAAUCACAUUUUCAAGGGCACUUUCCCCCAGUAAGGUCACACUUCCAGGUUUCAAGAGACCACAUCCUGUGACAGUCCUCACGAGGGUCCUCACCACCCUACUUAGACUCGAGCUCGGGAAUCCCUGCUGUGUGCUGAAUCCGGGGCUCUGCAACCACAGGAGAUGUGUAGCCACACACUCUCCCACAGGGAAGAUGCAGCCCUAGCCAGGCACCGUGGCCAGGCCUGACUUUCCACACUCAGGAGGCUAAGGCAGGAGGAUUGCCAGUUGGAGGCCAGUCUGGGCGACUGAGUGAGAACCUCAGCAACUUAGUAACAGCCUAUCUCAAAAAGUAAGAUAAAAAUGACUGGGGAUGUCGCUCAGUGGUGAGGCACCCUUGAGUCCUGGGCCACCUCUGGGAGAUCAACUUCUGGCUUUAUUUUGAAUAUCAGGAACCCACAGAGUCUGAGCUUCCCCUCUGCUCCUGCACCACCCCACUGCACAAGAACUGGUUUUAGCCCAUGUUUAAGAGGAGGAAAUUGAGGGUCUGAGGCCCUGAGUGGUGGGGCUGGGAUUGGGGCCAGAAGCGCCCCUUCCAGUAGGGCCUGAGCGCCCGGCUUCUCCCACUGCAGGGCAAGCCCCCCCGCCAGAGCUCUUAGGACCAGACACCACAGAAGCUUCCAGCCCGUCUCCUUGGGCCUCUCACCACCAAGGGGAGAGGACACUUGGUCAAGGGAACCCCCUGAGAUGCACGGGGCCCUGGGGAGUUUGCUGGACAGCUGCUCUCACCUUCCUACCUCCAAGGUGCAUGGCUAGGAAUCUUCCAGGAGAAGCCCUGGGUGACCGGCAGCAGCAGCCCCCGCCCCCUCCCCUUGCAGGGAUGCAUGGGCAGCCUCGCUCCAGGCACCAUCCGCCAACCAGCCGGUGCAGGGCCACGCGGGGCUGGUCAGGCACGGGGGACCUUGGGCUGCUGGGGACCUCUGGGCUCUGAAGGUAAGAGCAUGAGUGGCCUCCCCAAGUCUGAGAAGCCUGUUUCCCUCCAAGGAGAAAUCCUGGGGCCCCUGUGGCAGGACCCCAUUAUGUGCAGGAACCCACAGUGUCCCUGCAACUGGGCAUGAGGCCUCUGGGGCUCAGGUUCCUAAUCAGCAUCUUCCUCUUUGCAACAAAGAAAUGGUCUUAGUGGCUUUUACAAGGCUCCCUGAGGCAUAUCCUGGAGACCCUGGUGCAGUCAGCCCCUCGAGUCCCCUGGGAGGCAACCCUGAGGCCCAGGCAAGGCCAUAAGGGGACGUAGGCCCAGGCCCAGGACAGUCCUGAUACUAGCUAUAUGUAGACCCACCAAGGGAGACAGAAACAGCAGCCUAGAUUUCUGCAGACUCUGGGGCCCCAUGUGCUUCCUGAAUCACCAGCCCACAAACCAGCGGGGCUCUGAGUGUCUGCCUUCAGAGAGCGCCCUUCAGAAACCACUAUCCACAGACGCCUCUGCCUCGCAGCCUGCCCCCCACCUCUCCAGGGUUCCUCCUUGGUCAAAGUUCAAAUGGAUCUAGAGGUCAGAGUGGCCCACAGCUUUAUCAGGAGAGGCAGGGAGAGAUGGAGAGGGAGCUCUGGGAAAAGUCAGGUUGUCACCAGGCAGGUCCGGGAGAUAAAACGAUUGGUGGCAGGCAGCCAGCCGCAGACAGACCCUCACAGUGGGGCAUAAAGGACCCUGUGGUCUGGAAGACAAUCCGCUCCCAAGCAGGGCUGUCUCUUCUGGGCAGUGGCUGGGCACUGUGUGUCCUGCUCUUGCCCUAACCGUGCUGCAGGGUGGAGCCAACACUGGGCGGAAACUGUAGCUUGGGGAUAGGUUCCCAGGACAUCCCUGGACACCUCUGGCCUGUGGCCACCGGCAGGACUGGCCCAAGGCCCACAGACUCAGGGAGGGCACUUGCCCAAGUCACACCUGGGACUCGCCAGCAGCCUUUGCAAGGGGCAGGGAAAGAGGUAGCCCUCAGAACAAAGCAAAGGGACCCUGGCUGGGGGACAUGGGGUCAGCUGCCAGGGGCUGGUGGCUGGGGAGGCAGGUGCAGGAGGGGGAGGGAGGAUGAAGUGAGGGGUUAACUCUUCACCUCACCCAAGCCAGACAAGGUGGCCAUGGAGGAAGACCAGGUCCACUCACACCAUGUCCAGAUGACAGAGUGACCACAGAUGGAAGGUGCCUCCCUGGAGCGUACCCCACCCCUCGAAGAACUCCUCCAACAGUCACAGUGACCAGUGAGGUGCCACUCCAGCACUGCCCUGCAUGGGCUCAGCUAACCUAGAGAUGGCUCUCUGACAUGCCACUGUGAACACGCAUACUCUACAGAGGAAGAACCUGAGGGUCAGACAGGGUGCACUGCCCUGGGGUCGCAAAGCUGGUCAAUGGCCAUCGAAGAAUUCAAACCCAGAUCCAGGUCUCGUUAGUGUUCCUCUCUUGGAGCGAGGGCUGUGGGCCCAGCAAUCCCACCUCUGGCACAGGUCAGCUGGGCUCUCCUUUUACUGCAGCCCAGUAGGGCGGGGCCCAGGGGAAGCACCCCCGUGACAGACAGCACAGCCCUGGGCUGCUCAGAUGCCUAAUCAAGACCCUGCAGGCAGGAGGUGCCACGAGGCUGGGUUUCUCUAAGUGGGAUGAAAUUCCACUUCCCAGGGAAAGCUGGGCUCCCCGUUGGGUCUGGGCUGGCCUCACAGUGUGGCCCGGGCAGGCCCAGGGCCCUGGGUUCAGAAGUGGCAGUCAGUGCUCCACGGUGCCCGUCGGACACUCAGGGCUGCUGGACCAGAACAUCCACAUGCUCUCUGGGCACUGGCCACAGUCUUACACGGGCCCUUCCUGCCCUUCUUCCCAGGGAACAUGAAAACCCAGGGCUCUGCCCAGGUGGAACAUUCCAGAUGCCCUGGUCUCUGGCCCACACUGGUCACCCAAUGAAGCCUCCUUGCAUAGGGCCUGAAGCAGGGCAGAUCUGCAGGCUCUGGCCAGGCUGGAGGCCCUGAGGCUGGGCCUGCAUGGCCCCGUGCUGCUGGGAGCAGGCCCUGCUGCCUCCGCCACUCACGGGCAGACCUGGCCAGCCUCCCUUCCAGACCAGGAGUCCCCCUCUCCCCAGGGCCCUCUCUCCUUUCCCUCGCCCUCCUCUGAAAGGGGCUUUGAAUCCCCCUUCCCCUUAGCCAGUGCCCUGGCUCCAGGACCUCCCCUCGCUGUCCUCUCCUGGGUGGUGUGGGCGGGGAGGGGGGAGUGCCACGCUGCUGGUCUUCUCUCCCUAGCUGAGAACACUGCUGUCUCCACCCGGAGCGCUGCUGCCUGCACCUGGGAGCACUACUGCCUGCACCUGGGAGCACUACUGUCUGCACCUGGGAGCAUUGCUGUCUGCACCUGGGAGCGCUGCUGUCUGCACCUGGGAGCACUGCUGUCUGCACCUGGGAGCAUUGCUGUCUGCACCUGGGAGCAUUGCUGUCUGCACCUGGGAGCACUGCUAUCUGUACCUCGGAGCACUGAUGCCUGCACUUGGGAGCAUUGCUAUCUGUAACUGGGAGCAUUGCUGUCUGCACCUGGGAGCACUGCUGUCUGCACCUGGGAGCAUUGCUGUCUGCACCUGGGAGCACUGCUAUCUGUACCUGGGAGCACUGCUGUCUGCACUUGGGAGCACUGCUAUCUGUACCUGGGAGCACUGCUGUCUGCACUUGGGAGCACUGCUGUCUGCACCUGGAGCAUUGCUAUCUGUAACUGGGAGCACUAUUGUUUGCACCUGGAGCACUACUGUCUGCACCUGGAGCAUUGCUUUCUGCACCUGGGAGCACUGCUGUCUGCACCUGGAGCACUGCUGUCUGCACCUGGAGCACUGCUUGUCUGUACCUGGGAGCACUAUUGUCUGCACCUGGAGUACUUGUGUCUUCACCUGGGAGCACUACUGUCUGCACCCGGAGCACUGCCAUCUGUACCUGGGAGCUUCUCUACCCCCACACCGCCCGUGCAUUCCCAUGUCGUCUGGAAACUCCACAUGUCCAAGAGGACCCUCCACCAGCCCCAUUGGAAUCCCAAGCCCCAGGGCAGACACGUGACUCAGGUCCAUCUCUAUGCCGUCCCUGGGCUCAGGGGCUGGUUCAGGGGUGGAACACAACCUUAACCCAUUGCCUUGGCAAUUGAGGGAAACUGUUGGGAAGAAAGAAUCUCAGUUUCUGUUGGAAGGAGAGGUGGGAGGUAAACCACGAGCUGCCAGGCACGGCUGGAGAAGGCAGAGCCAGAAGUGGCAGAAAGGGUAUCAGUGUUGGAAGCCCUGGAUCCAGCUGUGCCUGAAGCCAGGUAACCAAGAGCAUUUCAGUUACACAGAAAUUUUCUAAGGCCCAUUGAGUCCGGUUUUGUGUCACUCACUCAUGACAGAAAGCACCCUUAUCCAUAUGCUGACUCCCUCUGUGACGAAAGCUUCAGCCACACGGAUGUGAAUCCACACUUGAUUCCCAGACAGUGUCCAGGAUUAGGAGAAUUCCCAAAGACGGAAAGGGCCGGAGCCUCUUGCUAAGUUUCCUUCCUGAGGCGUUGUAGCUGGGAGUCCCGUCCAAGAGAGCCCUUGCCACUCCUCACAGGGCAGAAGAGGCCCGCCCCGCCAUGCCUGGUUCGCGGGAGGCUGAGAUGACUCUGGGGCCCUCCUGGAGGAGGCGCUCUGUGGAAUGCCUUCCUGGGUGUAGAGACACUCCCACGCGGAAGUUAGUUACCCGACUGAGGGUCAUCAAGGGGAGAUGGGCCUGGGGCCUGGCCUAUGCAGGUAAGCUCUACAAAGGGAUUGUGCCCUGCUGAAAGGCAGAGUGGACAGGCCUGAGGACGGGUCCAUGUGGCCAGGACCUGUGAGCCACCUCUGGAAGCUGAGAGCAGUCCCGGCCAACAGCUGGCAAGAUGGUAGGAGAGGCCUGGUGAGCGUGGGAAGGGGUCUGCACACAUGGUCACCAGGAGGACCUGAACAGAACCUCCAGCUGCACUUGCUCUUCAUUGGCUUUAAAUGACCGAUUCUGGAGGUCACAGGCCAUGCAUGGCCAGCGUCCCCCUGGUUUGCUGUAGAUGACCUCUGACUUGUGGGUCAUGAUGACAAAGGUGGCCUCGGUUACUCCUCAGGGACCCGAGGGCUGAUUUUGCUGAGGACGCUGACUGCACUUGGGCUGCAGAUGUCCCCUGGUGACUGGAGCAGGAGGCAGUCUUGGCCUCCGUCCUCCCAUCGAGUCCGUCCCCUUUGCUGCCUUAACCUUUGGGUCAGUUGGGCUCUGCUCUGCCUGGAGACACGUUGAACUUUUGAGAAAUGUUUUGUCCAAACUGUAACAAGAGAUUAACGUGACCCAGACUCGCCUGCCUUCUCGCUCCCCCACUUCAAGGCUCCAGACACCUACAGCCGAGAGGGGAGGUGGCACCGAGCGCCCGGGAGACCCCCAGAUGGCCUGAGGGCCCCUCCCCGUGCCAGCCUGUCCCUGGGCCGCGUUAUUCCUGCUCUGCUUCUGCCACCCCCGGCCCGGAGCUGGGAAGCUGCUCAGUGAGCACAGCCCCUCCUGCCUGUCCCUGGCCACUGAAGACGCCGUCCCCCCACAGUGGCCUCUUGGGUGGGUCUCUGGGCGGGUUCAGGGGCACUGAUAGCCAGAAGGCGGCCUUGCCAGGCUCUGGGCAGAGCUCAGCUAAGUGGCCCCUGCCCCUGCCCCUGCCCUGGGACGGGGAGGUGACAGCCGGGGUGUGGGAUCCCUUCAGAAGCACCUGGCAGGGGUGCGCCAGGCAACCAUGAGCCCCUGAGCCACUUAGAGCGGGUGACAACUCCUUUGGGGACAGGAGGGGCAGCGGGGAGCUCCUGGCCCCCUGGACACAGCCUGGGCUCGCUGUGCCCGUUGAGCAUGGGAUUGGAGCCUGGCAGGCGGUGAAGCCCAGUGGCUGUCACCUGAGGGGGCCACCAUUGCCAUUGUCACUGCUCUGCAAGGCUCCGUGGCACUCGGGUCUGGUCCCUGCACCCCCGGGCUGUGGCCAUGGGCCUCCCCAUCCCCUCUGCAGAUGGGACAACAGAGCGGGGCUGAGGCUCAAGCUGCGUGGCGGGCUGUCGUGGGGGGUGAGUGGCCUCCCAGGGUGGGCAGGCUGGGCGCCGGCACCUGGGAGCCUGGGCCUCAGAGUCCCAGGACAGGCGAGUGGUGGCUUACUGGCCAGAGGGACUUGAACUUGAACGCUUGGUCCUCUGGAAGACGCAGACACCAAGGCUUUCCCUCUGGACAGGAGGUGCAGGCUGGAGGCCUUCGGCCCCUCUCAGCCGGCAAAGCCCUUGCACCUGCAUCGAGCUUGGCCUCCACUGGGGCCGGGGGCGGACCCUGACUGAGGCGGAGCUGGGCCCCUGGUCCCCUCACCAGGGUGUGCACUGGGAAGCGCUGGGGCUGGGAUUGAACCUGGGGCUCCUGGGCUCCACAGCCUGGGCCCGAGUCGCGCAUCGAGCCGCAGCUCCGCGUCCUAAGGAGGGCGGAAAGCCAGCCAGAACUAACCAGGGGUCAAGUGUCGUGACCCAGCCUCAGGGCACAGACCCACCUCGCCCUCAGAGAUCUCCGUCCCUGCAUCCCCAAGUGUAGGACGGUGGCAGCUGCUGUGAGCGUCCCCAGGCCAUGCAUGCUGGGACACUGGGACAGACAACAGGCAGGGUCCCUGGGUCCUAGCAACAGAGACGCAGCAGUGACCGUCUUUGCAGGAAUGAUUGUCUAAGCUGACUCAACCUGUGCGAAGCAGGAGACCCCAGGAGCCAGGGGAUUUACAACAAGAGGACAGAGGGCCCUCUUGGACGCUCCUGGGGAGCAGGACUGGGCUGGGCCUGCCAGGGAAGAAGGCGGGGCCCCAGGAGCAGCACAUAGCACUAAGGCCGCCUCAGCCACCAGAGAAAACCAAAGGAAGGCGCAGGGCGGGGCGGGCGGCAGGGCCAGGCUGAGGGGCAGAGGCUGGAGAGAAGCCCAGCAGCCCAGGAGAGCUGAGGGAGGGGCUGGGGUGGGGCUGGCAGAGCCCGGGGCAGCAGAGUGGCCACCAGCCCUGGCCCACAGCCAGGCCAUGCAAGAGGCCAGCCCAGGGCAGGACCUGCUCCGGGGAGGAGAGGCCCUGGGGAGCCACAGCAAGGCCACCCUGCCGUCCCCCCGGAGGCACUAAACUCUCCGUCACUUCAGAGCAGCAGGGUGCCCUGCCAGCGCCAGCCGCGCCUGGCGUCCCGGGAGCCUGCUCUCAGGUGAUGCCACACGGGCCCCGCAGGCUCCGCCCUCUGUCCCUCUCUCUGGCCACUCCCUCCUACCCAUGGUCACAGUCACAGUCACGGUCACAGUCACAGUCACGGUCACGUCCAGGUCGGUGGCACCACCACGUGCCAGCACUUCCCUGGGGGGUCCUGCCCUCUCAGCAUGCCCACUGGGCGUGUCCUCUCAUCCCAAUUCUAAUGUGUCGCACUGGGCCAGAGAGUGUCCCCCGACUCAGGUUCACCCGGAGCCUCGGGAGGGGCUUAAUCAGAAGUGGGGUCUCUGCAGGUGCAGCUGGGGGAGAGGGGGCCAGGCUGGAUCAGGGAGGGUGCUAAGUCCAGUGACCGUGACAGGGAGCUGCGAGCCAGACACUCGGAGAAACCGGGCGAGGGUGGAGCCUUCGGGCCUGGACUGCGGGGAGGGUCCAGCUCACGCUGACCCGGGGUCAGAAGGUCUCCACAAGGAGGCCUCCUCAGAAUCGGCCGGGCGAACGGCAGAGCCGGUGAGGGAGUGACCAAGUGAGCUGGACCCUCUGCAGUGUCACCAGGGCCCAGCCCUCGAGGGGAGCAGAUAAGAGUGCGGCUUCCAAAUUUCCGGUUCCUCUUUCGCAACCAAAGCGCCCUGGUGACCUCUGUGGCUGGGCGGCAAGUCCCCUCUCAAGACGGUGCAGAGAGAAGGCCCAGAGGUCAGGGCCGCAGCCUCAGGCCAGGUGGCCCUCAGGCUGGUGAUCCCUGGUUCUCCUCUGUCAGUUGGGCACAAGAGGCCCACCUGGCCCAGGAGGCUGCUGUGAGGUCAGGGACUGGCAUCCAGCCGAGCUCGGCCCCCCACCCUGCUCCGCGUCUGCACCACCAGCUGCCGCGCUGUGGGGAGGGCCUCACGGUUCCCCCUUCCUAGGCCAGCAUGGGCCAGUGAUUCCCACCUGGGCCCUGGCUGAGCCGUCCAGGGUCCUCCUCCACGUGGGCUGCCUGAGCAUGCAGUGCUGGGUGUCCCCUGGCCCAUGACCGGCUCCACUGAGGAGGACACAGAGACACAGGCCCUGUCCCCGGCCAGGAGGCAAAACAGCACAGCGCUUUCCUGUAGGGGAGGGACAGCUCACGGGGUGCCCAGUCUGGGGGCCCGAGCUGACUGUCCCCUCCGUGGCCAUCUUCCGGGGGAGAGGGCACAUCCAAAGGCCCACGGCCCCACCCUCCCAGCCCAGGCUCCACAGGGAGAGUGGUGAGCACCGCAGAAGCCUGGUAAAAAUCACAACCGGGCACCCAGCGGUCCGCAGGCCAGGACCUCGAGGAGAAGACGGACUCUCACCACAGCCGCUCCCUGCCCAGGAGAGAUGACGGGCUGACGGUACACCAGCUUGCUGGCCCUGGGACACAGCAGGCAGCAGCCACCGGGUGAAGCGAGGGCCGGUGCACAGGAGGGCGGGCGCCAGGGCUGCGGGGCCUCCCAACAGCCAGCAGAGUGGUUCCCUUGCCCUGCACCAGGUCAUUGUCCCUGUCCCUGGCCUGGCUAUGCCUGCACCUGGUCUGCCCCUGAGCCACCUGGGGCCGCCAGGCAUCUCAACCAAUGCUGACGGCGGUCAUCGUGGUCAGGAGACCAAGGCCCAGAGACAGCAGGGAGCAUGCUCAGGGUCACACAGGACCUGGUGGCUGAAUAGGGUGAUUAGUCUCUUGUCUCCUGGGCUGGACUCUGCCCAGCUCCUCAGGCCGAGGCCCAGGCUGACGGAGAAAGGCCCAGCUCAGGCCAGGUGCCUGCGAGCAGCAUGUGCCCACAUGUGUGCGUGCCUGUGCCAGUGUGACACUGAUCCCUCCACUGAGGCAGAGGGUGGAAGAAGCAUUUACAGCAAGGCCCCGGGUCCCGCUGGCUUCUUGCCACUCGGGUUCUGGCGUCAGACAGUGUCUCUGGGCACACUUCCCAGGAUGGGCGGCCGUGGUCACCCCUCAAGGUCCUCCUGACGCUCUGGUAGCGCUGCGCCGUCUGCAGGAAGCACUGUACCAAGAGCUUUGCGUGCGAGGCCUCCCCGUGCUCACAGCAGCCCCGUGUCCACGUACGGGUGGGAGCCCUCGGCGCCCCCAGGUGCCCAGCGGUUUUUUAAAUGUUGCCGAUUCUCCCCGUCCAGGAAUCGCAGCCCUUUGUGGGUGGCUGUGCUGCUGCCCCCAUCUGGAGGUGACCCCUGGACCCCGGCUGGCCUGGGGACUUGCUUUGCAGCUGGAUCCCAGCAGGGGAUGCUGCACCCACCCAGGGCCUCGAGCAGCCUGGACACUGCCCUCUCCCAGGCCCCGUGGCCAUCAGGAGGACAGAUCUGCCAAGGAUGAGAGCCACGUUGCCCAGUUGUCCCCGCCACCCUGGACAGCAGCCAGGAACAAAGCCUGCAGCCCAGUCACCACUGACUACAGAGGCAGGGACCCCCAGGCCAGGGCCAUCCAGCCCCGGUGCCAGCUGAAGUGCUGGCUGGUGGCACCGUGUGUCCGAAGCAGCUAACUUCUGGGGUGACUUGUCACACAGCACGAGGCAGCGGGUACACCCACCUCACACGGCAGCUGAAGGCUGUGCUGGGACCCACCGGGGCUGCUCACCCAGGCCCCCAGCUUGUCACCCCAGAGGGACCCAGGCCAUGAGAGCCCACAGCCGCCAGGAUUGCCUGCUCUGGACUCUCCUGCCUCGGCCGGUCUCUCCUGGGGAGCACGCCCAACUCCAGGAUGUCUGCCCGACACCCUUGCCCCUCCCCAGGGUUCCCCUGGGGACAGAGCCCUGGUUUCCCCUGGCCUCCCCCGGGAGCUUCUCCUGCUCCCAGGCAGCGGGUUCAGAGGUUGGCAGAACCUGCAGUUUCCACCGACGUAACAGCAGCCGUGAUGAAAGCCAGCUGACAGGUUUAAAAAUAGCCCCACGGGCUGCCAAGGUGCCCACUCCUGCUCAGAGGGAAGCCAGCCCCAGGGCAGGGCCGCCAUCGCCAGGAGGAGCAGCAGCUGCCUCGUGCCCUGGGGUCUUGGGAGCCCAGAGGACAAUGGGAAGUGCCCCUGGGAGCGUCCCUGAGAAGCCUGAGGAGGGCCAGGCCCUGCCCUGCACACAGACAGGGACGGUCCAGGAAGCCCGGAGGUCCUCAAACUCUCUUUUCUUUUGUCCCCUCUGUACUUAAAACUUGGGCAAGUCCUGAGCCGGAUGCGGUGGUGCAGGCCUGAAGUCCCAGCAGCCCAAGAGGCUGAAGCCGGAGGAAAAGGGCCUCAGGUUCAAAGCCAGCCUCAGCAACUCAGGGAGACCCUAACAACUCAGUGAGACCCUGUCUCUAAAUAAAGCACCAAAAGGGCUGGGGUGUGGCUCCGGGGUCAAGUGCCCCUGGGUUCAAUCCCAGUGCAAAAAAAAAAAAAGGAAAAGGUGUGAUCUCAGGCUCGUGACUUUGCCACCCGCUCAGCCUCAGUUGGCUCAUCUGUGAAAUGCAGCCCCUGCCUGCUGGGUGGCCCUGGGUGGCCCUGGGGGUCCCGGGGAGGGAAGAGCUGACCAGGUCAACACGAAUCAGCUGGUGCCUGACACCUGCUGACGGCUGCGGAGAAGGCGGCCGCACAGGAAGAGGCUCCGCUCUCCCCCGGCCCGGCCCCA
rnacentral:lncRNA from 1 species